GGAGGGGUUCCCGAGCGGCCAAAGGGAACAGACUGUAAAUCUGUCGGCCAUGCCUUCGGAGGUUCGAAUCCUCCCCCCUCCACCA
rnacentral:tRNA from 2 species